GGGCGUUUAGCUCAGUUGGGAGAGCGCCUGCCUUACAAGCAGGAUGUCGGGGGUUCAAGUCCCUCAACGCCCACCA
rnacentral:tRNA from 3 species